UACGUAGGGGGCAAGCGUUGUCCGGAAUCAUUGGGCGUAAAGGGCGCGUAGGCGGUUUGUAAGUCGGGGGUGAAAUGCUGCGGCUCACCGCAGCGCUGCCUUCGAGACUGCAAGACUGGAGCACGGUAGAGGCGGAUGGAAUUCCCGGUGUAGCGGUGGAAUGCGUAGAGAUCGGGAAGAACACCGGUGGCGAAGGCGGCCUGCUGG
rnacentral:rRNA from 1 species